AAGAUUGCAUUCGUAACAAGAGCAGCAACCAGGUUUCCAAUAUCUGGAGGCUUACCUAUAGGCACCUGCCGCCUGAUGCAGUUAUUUGUCCAAAUUGCAGAAAUUCGAGACGCAGACAGAUAGAGAGAGGCAAAGGAGAGGGAUCCUUACUUCAGAAGGCGCCGUUGAACAGUGGCCACACCGCAGGAGGCGUGACGCGGAGGAGAGCAGACGCUCGACCUUGGCUCGGCGCUCGGGGUGCUUCUGGAGAGAGAGGGAGAGAAAGAGAAAGAGAUAGAGAUCGUCAGCGAGAGUGACCCGUCUUGGACCGUCGCCGUUGACGAUUGGGCGUGGAGGGGGAGAGCGAGAGGGUUAGGAGCGAAGAAGUGAAAAUAUUGUCUCGGCUUUCUCAGUGAUUUUGAAUCUCAGAACUAGAAGUGAAGAAAAUAAAUAAACAAAAAGCCGGAAGUUUCAGGGCGUGCGUGCAGCACAGCAACAGGUCUCCACGAAGCUGGUGAAACGCAAAGAUCUGUGACAAUCCACAGAAAACGCUUUCAGUGAAUGGGGAGGUGGAGAGCCGCUUUCCUUCUCCUCGAUCACAUAGCCUCUGCUUCCAAAUCGCUUAUACCUAACCCCCCUCUUCCUCCCAGACCUCUCCGUCUCUCACUUCACUCAAAUCCCGCUUCUUACUUCUUCAGUUUAAGACCGUUCUCUGCAAUCCCAUCUCGCGUCUCGGUGGAUAUCAACGAAUUUGAUCCUGGGUCCCCGAGUUUCGAUCACAACGAUGAAUUCUUUGAUAAGGAAGACGAGGAAAUUGGAAAGAUUCCCGUCAAAGCCUUCUUUCUCUGCACCAGUAUCAAUUUGAAGAGCAUGCAAGCCGAGAAUUUAAGCAACGUAGUUCCUCCUACCUCUCGCUCCUCAAAUUAUAUUGCCCUCAGAUAUUCUGAUUUCUCUACAGAAAAUACUGUCUUUGGAGUCAAGAGGAAUCUGGGCUGCUGCCGUUACAUGGUUGUCUUCCAGUAUGGAUCUGCGGUUCUGUUUAAUAUUGAGGAUCAUGAAGCUGAAACUUACUUGGACAUAGUUCGAAGACAUGCUUCUGGAUUGCUUUCCGAGAUGAGGAAAGAUGAUUAUGCUGUAAAAGAGAAGCCAUCAUUGGUUGAGGAUAUGCGGGGAGGUCCAGACUACAUUGUUCUCAAAACAUUGGACACUGAUGGUGUCCGCAUUAUAGGAAGUGUGCUUGGUCAAAGUAUAGCUUUGGAUUAUUUUGUUUCACAGAUUGAUGGUAUGGUUCAAGAAUUUGCAGACAUAAAUCGUGGAAUGGAGAAAACCGGAACUUUUACGAUGGAUAAAAAGAAGCUCCUUCAGCUUGUUGGGAAGGCUAAUUCAAAUCUAGCUGAUGUAAUUCUAAAAGUUGGUCUUUUUGAGAGGCUUCGAUUGGGCUCAUUAAGCUUGAACAAAGCUGUUUCUGUUCAUGACUGUUCUUGACUCUGGAGUCAUUACAACUUCUUCCUUGGCUUCCAAAGCUAGGCACCAAAUAAAAUCAGAAAUUGCUUGGAGGGAUGCCAAGUAUGCUCAAAUACAUGAAUAUCUUCGUGAGGAGUAUGAGGUGACUCAACGCUUUGGAAAUUUGGAUUUCAAAUUAAAAUUCGUGGAGCAUAACGUUCAUUUCCUCCAAGAAGUCCUCCAAAACAGGAAGUCUGAUCUCUUGGAAUGGUGCAUCAUUGGCCUGUUGACGAUUGAGAAUGUCAUAUCAAUAUACGAGAUUGUUCGUGAUUCAAAUGCGAUUCCUCUAUAAUUUUGCAAGCUGAUUAGGAAACAUGAAACGGAUGAUAAUUUUGUACCAGUAUUUAAUCUGUUUAUUGAGCAACUCAAUUCAUUAUCAUAUGUAUGCAAUAAAUUUUCUUGCAUA